rnacentral:rRNA from 1 species
AGCAGCCGCGGUAAUUCCAGCUCCAAUAGCGUAUAUUAAAGUUGUUGCAGUUAAAAAGCUCGUAGUUGAACUUCAGGCCUGGCUGGGCGGUCCGCCUUCCGGGCGAGUACUGCCUGUGGUCGGGUCCUACCUUCUGGCGAAGCGUCAUGGCCUUAACCGGCCGUGGCGGGGAACCAGGACUUUUACUGUAGAAAAAAUUAGAGUGUUCAAAGCAGGCACGCGCUUGAAUACAUUAGCAUGGAAUAAUGGAAUAGGACAGUGGUUCUAUUUGUUGGUUUCUAGGACCGUUGUAAUGAUUAAUAGGGAUAGUUGGGGGCAUUAGUAUUCAAUUGUCAGAGGUGAAAUUCUUGGAUUUAUUGAAGACUAACUACUGCGAAAGCAUUUGCCAAGGAUGUUUUCAUUAAUCAAGAACGAAAGUUAGGGGAUCGAAGACGAUCAGAUACCGUCGUAGUCUUAACCAUAAACUAUGCCGACUAGGAAUCGGGCGAUGUUGACAAAAUGACGCGCUCGGCACCUC